rfam:Haemophilus pittmaniae HK 85 ctg1129913985424, whole genome shotgun sequence.
UCCCUACAAUGCGCGCAUACUUUAGGUUGAUUCUUAUGUGUUAAUGAAUUUCAGACUUAAGUAUGAUGUUGUGUUUGCAUAUAGUUCGGGCAACCGAACGGGAGUAACCUCUUGUUACUCUUCUUACUUCCUGUAUAUUAUUUUAAACCUUUUGGUUAAACGUCACAUUUUCACGAAUGUGGCGUUUUUUUUC